rfam:Camelus ferus unplaced genomic scaffold scaffold951, whole genome shotgun sequence.
GGUAAAGUACAGCUCAGUGUUAGAGCGCAUGCUUAGCAUGCACGUGGUCCUGGGUUCAAUCCCCAGUGCCUCCA